CUACGGGGGGCUCCAGUGGGGAAUUUUGGACAAUGGGCGCAAGCCUGAUCCAGCAAUGCCGCGUGCAGGAUGAAGGCCUUCGGGUUGUAAACUGCUUUUGUACGGAGCGAAACGGUCUACUCUAAUACAGUGGGCUAAUGACGGUACCGUAAGAAUAAGCACCGGCAACUACGUGCCAGCAGCCGCGGUAAUACGUAGGGUGCAAGCGUUAAUCGGAAUUACUGGGCGUAAAGCGUGCGCAGGCGGUUAUAUAAGACAGAUGUGAAAUCCCCGGGCUUAACCUGGGACCUGCAUUUGUGACUGUAUAGCUAGAGUACGGUAGAGGGGGAUGGAAUUCCGCGUGUAGCAGUGAAAUGCGUAGAUAUGCGGAGGAACACCGAUGGCGAAGGCAAUCCCCUGGACCUGUACUGACGCUCAUGCACGAAAGCGUGGGGAGCAAACAGGAUUAGAUACCCGUGUAGUC
rnacentral:rRNA from 1 species